rnacentral:rRNA from 1 species
GACGAACCGAGCGAACGUUGUUCGGAAUCACUGGGCUUAAAGGGCGCGUAGGCGGCCUGUCAAGUCCGGGGUGAAAUCUUUCGGCUCAACCGGAAAAGUGCCUUGGAUACUGAUGGUCUGGAGGGAGGUAGGGGUAUGUGGAACUUCCGGUGGAGCGGUGAAAUGCGUUGAUAUCGGAAGGAACGCCGGUGGCGAAAGCGACGUACUGGACCUCUUCUGACGCUGAGGCGCGAAAGCUAGGGGAGCGAACGGG